rnacentral:rRNA from 1 species
CACUAUGCCUAGCCUUAAACAUUGAUAAUGACUUACAAUUAUUAUCCGCCUGGGAACUACGAGCACCAGCUUAAAACCCAAAGGACUUGGCGGUGCUUUAGACCCACCUAGAGGAGCCUGUUCUAGAACCGAUAACCCCCGUUCAACCUCACCCUUCCUUGUUCUUCCCGCCUAUAUACCACCGUCGUCAGCUUACCCUGUGAAGGAAUAAUAGUAAGCAAAACUGGCAAAGCCCAAAACGUCAGGUCGAGGUGUAGCGUAUGGAAGGGGAAGAAAUGGGCUACAUUCACUAACUCAGUGUACACGAAUGACACCCUGAAACACGUGUCUGAAGGAGGAUUUAGCAGUAAGAAGAAAAUAGAGUGUUCUACUGAAACUGGCCCUGAAGCGCGCACACACCGCCCGUCACUCUCCCCGAGCUAAGACUCUCAAGUAAAUAAGUAACUACAACUGCAAAGGGGAGGCAAGUCGUAA